UUUAAAGUAAUGUAUUAAUUAAGUUUUAAAAAAUAAAAAAAAAUACACCAAAACAAAAAUCAAAAUCUAGAAACCAAAAACCAAAAAACAAAAGAUGAAAACCAAAAACCAAAAUCUAAAAAUCAAAAAUUAAAAUCUAAAAACCAAAAACUAAAAAUACUAACUAUUGAAACAAUCAUGGCAUAGAUAACCAUAAUAGUUGAUGGGAUAAAAACACAGUUUUCACAGCAACAACAACAACAAAAAAAACUUUAGGGUUCAUGGGAUUCUCGACGAAUUGGGAGAAUCCGAGUUAGAAAGCGGCAAUUCCAUAUAAAAUGAAAACAGGACCAGGACCAGACAGAAAAAUCAAUUGUCUCCCCCAAACUAAACCCAGAACACUGUCAAUCGUUUCCCGUUGCAGCUAAAAACCAGAGAGAUGCAGAGGAUCAGUUAACUGUACGGUGAAUUGGACUUCUUAAGAGAGCACACAAAAAACCUUCGAAGAAAUUUAAUACGUUCCUGGUAUCUCUCUCCUUCACUACUGGUGAUGGCAGUGAGUUUCAGCAGAAUAUCUCCAGUCAAGAUAUCUGAUCGAGAUCUCAAUUUUAUACAUUUGAAUCCGGAUGGAAGCGUGACCGAGCAGCGUGGCUGUCUCACCACAAAACGACUCCUUUGUUGACGCCGUUGCAGACCGCACAGAGGAUUCUAGAAAUCAUCUAUACCCACGCCUUUUGGAUGCGUCUGAAACACAUGCUUUGUUGGGGGAUACAUUUUGUCUAGGGGAAGUCACAACAAGGAAAUGCUGAAGACUGUCUUGCAGUUUGAGAGUAAAGUUAACAAGGAGUAUACUUUUUAAAAUUUCAGUCUAUGGAGGUAGUAAACAGAGGCGUAUCUACCGACAUUCCGGUUUAUAUGUACUUUGAUGCAUUUUCAACUCUGUUUUACCAUAAAAAUGCAGAUGACUAUUUAUGUAGCCGCUGGGCGUGGUUAUCGUUUGGUGUGUUCUUAUAACCGCCGGGUGUGGUUUUUGUGUUCUUAUACAAUCUGGAACUUGAAAAGCUCUAUUGAAUGAUAACACUGCCUUGCUUUUAAUCGAUGUGUUUCGGGUUUUGGUUGUUUUUCCUCCAAAGAGCUAGAAAUGUAUUUUCAAUGAUUACUCCAUUCUUGAUCUUGGUCUAUCACGUCCUCACUCAAACAGGCUGAAGCUUUGAACACUUCUUUGGAUUAGUCGUUGCUAUCUUCUUGUCUACUAAGGAAGAACGGUAAGAACAACACAUCACCUGCAAAUUUAAAUAGAGACUUAUUAAUAACACCAUAAGAACAUUUGCACGUCAUGCUCAUCCAAUGACCACAAACAAUUUUUAUUUGAGCCACGAGAGAAGGAAGAAAAUAAACGUCAAUCUGAAAACGCCAUUAACGUCGAAUAAGGUAAUCACGUGUAAGAGUGAUUUGUAGAUUAGGGCUUUUCUCUUUGUUUGUUUAAAUUAAGUUUGGUUUAGUUUAAUUAAAUAAUUUUGGUUUACAUGCUUUUGAUUCAAAUUAUGGUUGGUUUGAAACAUUUUGGUUUAAAUCAAGUUAAAUUACUGGUAUAUGAAAUAAUUUCAGAAUUAAAUGGUUUAAUCUGGUUUGCAAUAACUCGGUUAAGAGGAAUUAAUAAAAAUCUGUGGCAAAUCAUAAAUAAAUUUGUGGCUUAAUUUUAAACAAAUCUGUCGAACUGUAACAAAUCGGUGGUCAAAUAAUAAAUAAAUCUAUCAAAUUCUAACUAAAUCAGUCAAAUUCUAAUAAAUCUGUGGUCAAAGAAUAAAUAAAUCUAUCAAAUCUUAACUAAGUCUGUCAAAAUUAAAUAAAUUUGUGGCUAAAGAAUAAUAAAUCUAUCAAAUCAAAAUUAAAUCUAUCAAAAACAAGUAAAUCUGUGGUUAAAGAAAAAAUAACUCUAUCAAAUCCGUAAAUUUGUUAUAACAAAUCUGUCAAAUAAAGUAAAUCUGUGACCAAAUAAAUUAAAUCUGUCAAAAUUUAAUAAAUUUAUGGCCAAAUGUGACAGAUUUGUUAUAACAAGUCUGUAGAAAUAGUAAUAAGUCUAUAGAUUUUAAGUAAAUCUUUUGCUAAAGAAGAAUAUAUUUAAGUUUGUGGCUACAUAAAAAGUAGACAAAAUAAAUCUGUGGAUGGCAAAAUUGUAAAUAUUCCGAAAAUUCAGUAAUGGCAUUUUCGUAAUUAUUAUUUUUGUUAACAAAGGAAAUAGGGUAAAUUAGGUAUGAAAAACGAGCUAGUAAUUAAAAUAAAAUUAGAGUUAAACUAGUAAAUAAUUGAUAAAUAAGGGUUACACUAGUUUUUUCCCUUUCUUUUAUCCUUUUCUGUAAAUAAGGAAAUCAACUAUUUUUAGUUAGCAAUUAAUUUAUAAAUUUAUAUAUAGAGAAAAAGAUAAAAAUAGCACUAAAUCAAGUUUUUGUUCACAAACUAGCACUCAAGGUCAAAAGUCACAAAAAUAGCACUUAAUGUUUUAUCAAAAGUCACAAACUUAGGGUUUAGAGUUAAAGGGUGGGGUU